rnacentral:rRNA from 1 species
UACGAGUGGUGCAAGCGUUAUUCGGAAUAAUUGGGCGUAAAGGGUGCGCAGGCGGUAUGCUAAGUCAGUUGUUAAAGACCUCAGCCUAACUGAGGGUCAGCGGCAGAUACUGGUGUACUAGAGGGUGGAAGAGAGAAGUGGAAUUCUUGGAGUAGCGGUAAAAUGCGUAGAUCUCAAGAGGAACACCGAUGGCGAAGGCAGCUUCUUGGUCCACAUCUGACGCUCAUGCACGAAAGCGUGGGGAGCAAACAGG